rnacentral:tRNA from 1 species
GUCACUUUGGCGGAGUGGUUAACGCGCUGCCCUGCUAAUUAACAGUUAGCUGCUUAGGCAGUUCCCUCGGGAGCGUAGGUUCGAAUCCUACAGGUGACG